ACCGGCAGCUCAAGUGGUGGCCAUUUUUAUUGGGCCUAAAGCGUUCGUAGCCGGUUUGAUAAGUCUCUGGUGAAAUCCCGCAGCUUAACUGUGGGACUUGCUGGAGAUACUAUUAGACUUGAGGUCGGGAGAGGUUAGGGGUACUCCCAGGGAGGGGGGGAAAGCCUAGAAGCCGGGGAGGACCAACGGUGGCGAAGGCGGCGAACUGGAACGUAACUGAUGGUGAGUAACGGAAGCGAGGGGCGUCCACCU
rnacentral:rRNA from 1 species